GACGAACGCUGGCGGAAUGCUUUACACAUGCAAGUCGAACGGCAGCACGGGGGCAACCCUGGUGGCGAGUGGCGAACGGGUGAGUAAUACACCGGAACGUGCCCAGUCGUGGGGGAUAACGUAGCGAAAGCUACGCUAAUACCGCAUACGAACUGAGGUUGAAAGCGGGGGAUCGCAAGACCUCGCGCGAUUGGAGCGGCCGAUGGCAGAUUAGGUAGUUGGUGGGGUAAAGGCUCACCAAGCCGACGAUCUGUAGCUGGUCUGAGAGGACGACCAGCCACACUGGGACUGAGACACGGCCCAGACUCCUACGGGAGGCAGCAGUGGGGAAUUUUGGACAAUGGGC
rnacentral:rRNA from 1 species